CCUACGGGGGGCUGCAGUGGGGAAUAUUGGACAAUGGGGGCAACCCUGAUCCAGCCAUGCCGCGUGUGUGAAGAAGGCCCUCGGGUUGUAAAGCACUUUCAGUGAGGAAGAACGCCUGGUGGUUAAUACCCAUCAGGAAAGACAUCACUCACAGAAGAAGCACCGGCUAACUCCGUGCCAGCAGCCGCGGUAAUACGGAGGGUGCGAGCGUUAAUCGGAAUUACUGGGCGUAAAGCGCGCGUAGGUGGCUUGAUAAGCCGGUUGUGAAAGCCCCGGGCUCAACCUGGGAACGGCAUCCGGAACUGUCAAGCUAGAGUGCAGGAGAGGAAGGUAGAAUUCCCGGUGUAGCGGUGAAAUGCGUAGAGAUCGGGAGGAAUACCAGUGGCGAAGGCGGCCUUCUGGACUGACACUGACACUGAGGUGCGAAAGCGUGGGUAGCAAACAGGAUUAGAUACCCGGUAGUC
rnacentral:rRNA from 1 species